GAUGAACGCUGGCGGCGUGCCUAAUACAUGCAAGUCGAGCGAACAGACGAGGAGCUUGCUCCUCUGACGUUAGCGGCGGACGGGUGAGUAACACGUGGAUAACCUACCUAUAAGACUGGGAUAACUUCGGGAAACCGGAGCUAAUACCGGAUAAUAUAUUGAACCGCAUGGUUCAAUAGUGAAAGACGGUUUUGCUGUCACUUAUAGAUGGAUCCGCGCCGCAUUAGCUAGUUGGUAAGGUAACGGCUUACCAAGGCAACGAUGCGUAGCCGACCUGAGAGGGGGGUGGGCCACAUGAGAGCUAGAACGGGGAACGGACGACUGGGGUAGGCAGCAGUGGGGCAUGUGCCGAAAUGGGCGAAAGCCUGACGGAGCAAGGGGAAGUGGGAGAUAAAAAUCUUAGGUUCGUAAGACCCGGUUAUUGGUGAAAAACAAAUGUGUAAAGAACAAUGCACUUCUGGACGGUACCUGAUCAAGAAGCAAGGGCUAACUACGUG
rnacentral:rRNA from 1 species